GAGUUUUUUUUCAUUCAACACGAAAGAAGCAUCCACAAAGAUGGAUUUACAGUUUAGUAGAAUGAGAAUCCAUCCACAAAGAUGAUCCCACCCAACCAGGAGAUACAAGAGCUGACGGUGGUUACCAAACAAGAGAUCUCCGUUCUAAAUACUGUUCUAAAUACGUCCUCAUCGUCAUCUCAGUUGGUCCCAAGGAAGCUUCACCAUUGUUGCAACAGAGUACAUAAUAACAAUCACAGCAGCAACAGAUGGUCCCAUUGCAACAACAACAAUUGUUCAGUUAUUUUUUCUCUAAUUUAGUAGCAAGUUA